rnacentral:rRNA from 1 species
UACAGAGACUGCAAGCGUUAUUCGGAUUCACUGGGCGUAAAGGGUGCGCAGGUGGCCAAGUGUGUUAGGCGUGAAAGCCCGGGGCUUAACCCCGGAAUUGCACCUAAAACUACUCGGCUAGAGCAUUGGAGAGGGGAGCAGAAUUCAUGGUGUAGCAGUGAAAUGCGUAGAUAUCGAUUUGGAACGCCGAUGGUGAAAACAGGUCGCUGGGGCUGUGCUGACGCUGAGAC